GUGGAAGAGAUGGGAGAAGAGAGAGAGAGAAGGUGGAAGAGGUAGGAGAGGAGAGAGAGAGAAAGAAAAGUGAGAGAGGUAGGAGAGGAAAAGCAUGAGAGAGAGAGAGUGAAGGUAGAAGAGGUAGGAGAGGAGAGAGAGAGA